GACGAACGCUGGCGGCGUGCUUAACACAUGCCAGUCGAACGGAAAGGCCCUGCUUUUGUGGGGUGCUCGAGUGGCGAACGGGUGAGUAACACGUGAGUAACCUGCCCUUGACUUUGGGAUAACUUCAGGAAACUGGGGCGAAUACCGGAUAGGAGCUCCUGCUGCAUGGUGGGGGUUGGAAAGUUUCGGCGGUUGGGGAUGGACUCGCGGCUUAUCAGCUUGUUGGUGGGGUAGUGGCUUACCAAGGCUUUGACGGGUAGCCGGCCUGAGAGGGUGACCGGCCCCAUUGGGCCUGAGAUACGGCCCAGACUCCUACGUGCGGCAGCAGUGAGGAAUAUUGCACAAUGGGCGGAAGCCUGAUGCAGCAACGCCGCGUGCGGGAUGACGGCCUUCGGGUUGUAAACCGCUUUCGCCUGUGACGAAGCGUGAGUGACGGUAAUGUGUAAAGAAGCACCGGCUAACUACGUG
rnacentral:rRNA from 1 species